rnacentral:rRNA from 1 species
AACGAACGCUGGCGGCAGGCCUAACACAUGCAAGUCGAACGCCCAGCAAUGGGAGUGGCGCACGGGUGAGUAACGCGUGGGAAUGUACCCUUUAGUACGGAAUAGCCUCGGGAAACUGGGAUUAAUACCGUAUACGCCCUUCGGGGGAAAGAUUUAUCGCUAAAGGAUCAGCCCGCGUGAGAUUAGAUAGUUGGUGGGGUAAUGGCCUACCAAGUCUACGAUCUCUAGCUGGUCUGAGAGGACGACCAGCCACACUGGAACUGAGACACGGUCCAGACUCCUACGGGAGGCAGCAGUGGGGAAUAUUGGACAAUGGGCGAAAGCCUGAUCCAGCCAUGCCGCGUGAGUGAUGAAGGCCUUAGGGUUGUAAAGCUCUUUCGGUGGUGACGAUAAUGACGGUAACCACAUAAGAAGCCCCGGCUAACUUCGUGCCAGCCGCCGCGGUAAUAC